AAUUCUCAGGGGUUUCUGUCCCUCUGAUGGUCUCAGUCUGACCACACCACACGAGAUUUGGGAGUAGGAUGCUGUUAGGACCAGUUCAGAUCCAGUUGCAGUUUGGACUGCAGGGCUCCUGCAGCUUGACUGCUCCUAUAUACAUGUGUCCAGAUGCACUAUGCACUUUCCUCUUGGGCUAGGCCUGUGGGAACAAGUGGGCGGAGGUGGCAGUCUCUCCUUCCCUGAGGUCUCAGUAUUGUCCACUCUUCUGUCUCACAGAGUUUCCAAAGGAGUUUCAAAUGUUCAUUCCCUAUCCUGCAGGUCUCCAGUCUUUCCAAUUCUCCUCCAAAUGUGUUGGAGAAGACCCCUCUGGUCGAGGGGAGGUACAACAAGCCCCAUCAAACAAAAUGGUCUCCACAUCUUCUUCUCUUAAAGUCUUGACCUAGAUGCGCAGAAUUCAUGUUAAAAUUCCAGCUAAAAUUAUAGCUGUAGGAGCCAACAAAAGUACAUAUAUAUACAUCAGCCACCGAAACUACACAAGAUUGAUGGAGAUUUAAAAAAAGAUUACAAGAGCUGAAGGGCUUUAACACUACAAGAACAACAAUGCCAAUGAACCAGAGCUUUCUGAUACUAGAACAAUAUUCAAAGAAUGUACAUGGACAGAGCUAUGGCUACAACUGCAUAUGUGGAAGAGAAUAGACUUGGUGGGCACCAAUGGAAGGAGAAGUCCUUGGUCCUCCCUAGGUUUGACUCCAAGUUCAAGGUAAUGUCAAGGGGUAAUAAGGAGGGUUAUAGCAGAAGGGCAGGGUAACGAGAAAAUGAUCUUUUAGGCAGGAAACUGGGAAAGGAAAUAACAUUUUAAAUGAAAAUAUAGAAACAUCCAGUUAAAAAAAGCAAUAAAAUUUGCUAAAAAAUGAAAGAUAUAAAAUAAAAGUAAACUGCCAACUAAUUAUACCUGUUGACUUGGAAAUCUACAAUGAUAGUCAGAGUAAUACAAGUGGUAAGACUAAGAUGAUGAUAUCUGAACUAGAGCACUUCUCUCUCCCAGAUAGAAGUAUCAGACAGAAACUGCACUAUAGGUAUCCAAAACAUUGAAGAGUUUACUCUGAGCUGCGGACAUAAUGCUUGUCCUUCCCAUCUUCCUAAGUAACUUUCUCUUUUUGAGAAAAAGUAUAAAGUCCAUGACCUGUCAGGGAUACAACUGUGCCAUUCACAACACUUGACAAUGGAAUAAAGGAAUGAAUGAUAUAAACUCUCUGACUUCCAGAAAGCAAAAGAAAAGGGAAGUCCAGAUGCUUCUGAGAGGCUCCCGGCUCCUAAUUCCCUUAUGUGGAAGGCGAAGAUAAAGGCUAUCUCUUCAGAGUUACCCCUCAACACCUAACAAGGACAUACUAAACUUUCCCAAGCACCACAUAAUUUUCCUUGUUUUUUUAUACCAAGACAGAAGGCCAGCUUCCUUCUCUCCAUUUCAUAUCCUUCAUCCUCUUUUUUCUCACUUCCAAAUUGUCUCUGAAUUAGGCCAAAUAGGAAACCUUAGAGGUAUUGAAGGAAAAUCUGAGAGGCAGUUGCAGUCAUGACAACAGAAGGAGCUAGGGGUCACCAGAUUAUAAGAGAGUUUUCAGGGAGGUUCUAAUGAUAAUGUCACUGAGCAGUACCGUGAUCUACAUGCUGAACACUUCCUUACAUUGACCAGAUUCAAGACUGCCUUUACCAGGUAUGUCUCAGGAAACACAGUGGAAACCUGUAUGUACUACAUCACUCUAAAGUAGAGACUUCUCUCUGCUUCUCUAGUCGUUACAUGCUCUGAAUGUAGAAAGUUAGCCAGGGGCUUAGCAUGGGUAGAAACGAUUUAGGAACAUGGAGUGUAGGAAAUACUUCUAGAUAAUAUUUUUAUUCCCAGGUUCAUUCCUGUGACAAAAAAGUUCAAUUUUCUGUGUUUUCUUUCUUUCCCAAAUGCCAGUAUUUUCUCUACAACCUUUAAUUGAAUGAAUAUUGUAUUUCAAUUUCUUACUGUAAAUUCCUUGAUAGGGGACUUUGUAAAUGUUCCUCAUUGUGUAAUCAAAAAUUCUAUUUUCCAAUUAAAUUUUCUGCAAUGAUUUUGGUCACAAAGGGGGCCCAGCUAUAGAAUGAGUACAACACUGUAACUACUGUGUACCUAUUUCAAAUGAUGAAUUCCCAAAUCCUUUUUUUUUACCAAAAAAAUUACCAGACAUCAGGAAAGCAAAGUAUAACAUGGAUUUUUUAAUUCGGUUCUCUACUCCCAUUUGAUAUCAGUACUACCCUAUCUAUCUUCCAGUUUUCCCAUGGCCAGACUUGAGUGUUUAGGAUGUUUUACCAUGAUUCUUUCUUAAGGCCAAAUGUAAUCUACCAGAUGAUGGGCAGGGGAGAAGAAUGGCUUGAGGACCAGUUAAAUGUCUACUUGAAUAGGUUCAUAAAAACAGGAGGGAGUCUAUUUACAUUGUCAUCUGUGAAUUCUACAUUCUUGACAUAGUUGGGGAGAAUCCUUGUUAACAUUCCGCCUAACAACGUAAGUGUAGAAGCCUCCAAAAUUAUUUAUAUACAUCAGCCACCAAAACUAGAUAAGAUUGAUAAAGCUAAUAAGUGCAUUCUUCCAGGAACUCGAUAAAGAUAUUUAAUGAGAGACACAGAUACAGCAUGUCAAACACAGAAGUGAAUGCUAGUAGCAAACCAGUGAACUGAAAACAGACCUCUUGUAGGUAAAUAUUGAAAAAGGUUAGAAGAGCUGAAGGUGAUUUCAACCCCAUAAGAACAACAAUGCCAAUAAACCAGAGCCUUCGGAUACCAGACCAAUAAACAAAGAACGUACAUGGACUGAUCUAUGGCUCCAAAUUCAUAUGUGGCAGAGGAUGGCCUUUUUGGGCAAAAAUGGUGAUGAUGCCCUUGGUCCUCCCUAAUUUGUCUCCCAGUUCAAGGGAAUGUCAAUGGACAGAAAGUCUGGUUAUAGAAGUAAGAAAAGGGAACAUGUAGGGAUCUUAAGGGAAUAAACUGGGAAAGGAAUUAAUAUUUUAAAUGUAAAUAUAG